rnacentral:rRNA from 1 species
UACGGAGGGUGCAAGCGUUAUCCGGAUUCACUGGGUUUAAAGGGUGCGUAGGUGGGCAGGUAAGUCAGUGGUGAAAUCUCCGGGCUUAACUCGGAAACUGCCAUUGAUACUAUCUGUCUUGAAUACCGUGGAGGUCAGCGGAAUAUGUCAUGUAGCGGUGAAAUGCUUAGAUAUGACAUAGAACACCAAUUGCGAAGGCAGCUUACUACACAAUGAUUGACACUGAGGCACGAAAGCGUGGGGAUCAAACAGG